UGGAAGGACCCAUGUGUGCCCUGGU
rnacentral:piRNA from 1 species